rnacentral:rRNA from 1 species
GGGCCCGCACAAGCGGUGGAGCAUGUGGUUUAAUUCGAUGAUACGCGAGGAACCUUACCAGGGCUUAAAUGUAGUGGGACAGGUCUAGAGAUAGACCCUUCUUCGGACUCAUUACAAGGUGCUGCAUGGUUGUCGUCAGCUCGUGCCGUGAGGUGUCAGGUUAAGUCCUAUAACGAGCGCAACCCCUAUCGUUAGUUGCCAGCGAGUAAUGUCGGGAACUCUAACGAAACUGCCAGUGCAAACUGUGAGGAAGGUGGGGAUGACGUCAAAUCAUCACGGCCCUUACGUCCUGGGCUACACACGUGCUACAAUGGCCGGUACAGAGAGCAGCCACUUCGCAAGAAGGAGCGAAUCUAUUAAAACCUAGUCGUAGUCCGGAUCGGAGUCUGCAACUCGACUCCGUG